CCCUUAGAUGUUUUGGGCCGCACACGCGCUACACUGAAGGAGGCAGCGUGUACUCCUGGAUCGAAAGAUUUGGGUAACCCGCGAAUCUCCUUCGUGCUAGGGAUUGAGGUUUGCAAUUAUCCUUCAUGAACGAGGAAUUCCCAGUAAGUGCAAGUCAUAAGCUUGCGCUGACUACGUCCCUGCCCUUUGUACACACCGCCCGUCGCUACUACCGAUUGAAUGAUUUAGUGAGGACUUCGGACUGGGACCGAUGCGGCUUUCGGGCUGCGUCGGUAUUCUGGAAAGAUGUCCAAACUGUAUCAUUUAGAGGAAGUAAAANUCGUAACA
rnacentral:rRNA from 1 species